AGAGUUUGAUCAUGGCUCAGAACGAACGCUGGCGGCGAGCUUCAUACAUGCAAGUCGAGCGCGUGUAGCAAUACACGAGCGGCGAACGGGUGAGUAACGGGUGGAUAACCUACCUCUCCGGUGGGGAAUAACGGCGGGAAACUGCCGCUAAUACCGCAUACGGUUGCUGGUCCUCGGACUGGUAAAGAAAGGGGCUUUACAGCCUCGCCGGGAGAUGGGUCCGCCUCCGAUUAGCUAGUUGGUGGGGUAAUGGCCUACCAAGGCAUCGAUCGGUAGCCGAACUAAGAGGUUGAUCGGCCACACUGGAACUGAGACACGGUCCAGACACCUACGGGUGGCAGCAGUAGGGAAUCUUGCGCAAUGGGCGAAAGCUUGACGCAGCUACGCCGCGUGGAUGAUGAAGGCCUUCGGGUCGUAAAGUCCUUUUCUGAAGGAAGAACGGCCUCGUGAGGAAAUGCACGGGGUAUGACGGUAC
rnacentral:rRNA from 1 species